GGGAGCUUAGAUGUGGAAGCUCUUUGGAAACCAAGAAACACUCUGCAAAUGAAAAGGGAAGCAGAAGUUCUCCUUAGCUGAUUUUUCUUCUUGCCUUAUACUGGGUUCUUUAACACCAGAACAAAAAUAAAUAAAUAAAAGAAUCUUCCAGAAAUUCAUGAAGAGACUUCAGGUCAGGAAAGCCUGAACUUUCUCAUCCAACACCUGUUCAAGUCGGAGGAUGCUGAUUAAUUCAUGAUGGAAAGGAGACCUCUGUGGAUUCUAUAACUCAAAGACCCAGGCUGACGGCUGGUGGAAUAGCUACCAUCUCAAACAUGGCGUGAUGCUGCAUCAGAGAGAAAAAUAAGCUCUUGCAUUGACAAUGAAAUGUCUACCCUGUAGUGACUUGUGCUUACUUCCACUCACAAGUGAUUGCCCAGAGCUACUUACCUGGCUCCAAUCUACCACUGGGUGUGUACUUGCAAUCUACCAUGUACCUAGAAGAUGAGAGAAACAAAUUAUUAAUGAUGACCACACCCCAAGACUAACAACAAGUUGCAGAAGAAUCAAUGACUUAAACAAAAAUGUGGCCAUUGAAGGAAUAGAAAAUAUAGUGAGUUUAGUGUAAAUUUAAAAGUGAUUUAUAAGUAACAUACAAAAUCCAGAAACUAUAAGAAAACAGAUUCACAAAUACAAAUAUAUAAAGCUUUAAAAAAGUUUAAUGUAACAAAAAUGGCAUAAAAGGAGUCAAAAGUUUUUAAAAAAUAUGUUAAUGCAGUAGAUUAGGUGCUAAUUUUCUUAAUAUACUCAUAACUCAAUAAGAGAAAUUUUGUAUCUAGAAGAAAAUGAACAUGGAAAUAGGCAAUUCACAGAUAAUGGCAUUCAUCUGGCAAAUAAAAAAAUGUGUGACAUUCAGAAUAAAAUAAAAAUGAAAUACUGGUUUUCAGCCAUCACUUGAGCAAAACUGCAAAGAUACAAUGAGACUCAGGCAUUCCCAUAUACUGUGGAUGGGAG
rnacentral:antisense_RNA from 1 species